rnacentral:lncRNA from 1 species
GCGGGCCACGGCCGGGACCUCCCCUGACGCGGCCUUCCCGGCGUCCGGACAGACGGGGUUCAGCAAAAGGAGUCCCCUGCCCCGCGUCCCUCCACAGCCAGAGUCUGUCUAACCACGCGCACUGACAGGAAGGAAACCCAGGCUGUCACUGUCCUGUUACUGGGUCUUCCCUGGCCUCCCUGCGGCUGGUCACAUCCACCCGCGCGGUUCCCCUUUGAUGGCAAGUCGCUAGUGGCAUCCAUCCUCUACAGCCUUCAGCUUUCUCCUGCCAGUGGUUCUCGAAGGUUGCUACCCGUUAGAAUCAUCUGGGGAGCUUUUAAAAACCCUGAUGCUCAGACUGCACCCAGACCAAUGAAAUCAGAACCACGUGGAAGCCGGGCAGCCGCAGUUUGAAAAGUUCCCCAGACUAGCCCUGAGCUAACAUCCCUGCUGAUCUUCCUCUACUUUAUAUGUGGGACGCCUACCACAGCAUGGCUUUCCAAGCAGUCCCAUGUCCGCAUCCAGGAUCUGAACCGGUGAACACUGGGCAGCUAAAGCGGAACGUGGGAACUUAGCCACUCUGCCACGGGGCCGGCCCCUGAAUUAUUUUUCAUUUGGGCAGAAUUCACUUUAUUUUUGCUUCCCAGGUAUUUCCUACUUUUGGCGUUGCUUUUGUGUUUGCUCCUUGCUCAGGAAAGCUGCCACAGUGCCAUUUUCUCUAAUAUUGGUGGAACACUUGGAUAUCUGCUACUGACAAGUCAUCGUGUGUGGUGCUGUCUGCAAAGAUGGCCAUGCACAGCCUGUCUCUAUUUGCACAUGCUGCUCCUCUCCUUGAAAUGUGGAAUCUAUUCCCCUCCCCUUGAAUCUAGCCUGGCCUUGGGACUGACUUUGACCAGUGGAAGGAGAUAGAAAGAUUGCUCUUCCAGUUCUGGGCCCCGGCCUUUUGCUUUCUUGCCCCUGACCCACCACGUAAAGUCCAGUCUGUCCCGCUGGGCAGAGAGCCAGUAGCCAACCUUGAGGCCCCAAGUGUGUGAGACAGGCCCUAGCCAUCUAGCCUGGCCAGCACCACAUGAAACAGUCCUGAGAAACGACUGCUGAGCUCUGCCUGCAGUUCUGGCCCACAGAGUCAGGAGCAAUAAAAUGGUUUUGUGGUUUAAGCCAUUCGAUUUUAGGGUGGUUUGUUACAUAGCAAUAACUAACUGAAACAGCAUACUCUCUGGACCCUAAUUUCUUCAUUUGCAAAAUGGUGGGUCUGUCUUCCAUCUUUGAGAUCAAGCCACCUCCUCUGUAACUGGUGUCUGACUUUCUCACUACAAAUGAGCCUUUCAGUACCUGGUUCCCAAAUAAGGGUUUGAAAUCAGUUAAUGUGGCCCUGAAUCCUAGAGACUGCCAGCACUAAUGCGGCUGAAAUUCAUCCAGGAAAACGGAAGAAUGUACCCUGUCAAAGCACUGGCUUUGGAGUGGGAGUCCCUGCCUUUGAAUUCUAGAUCUGCCACUUCCUGGCUGUCUGAGCUUGGACAAAUUUCCUUCUCCAAGUCUCAGUCUCCUCAUCUGUAAAAUGGGGAUAAUGAUAGUACCUGCUAUAUGUGAGGAUUAAAUCAAAUGAUGUCCGUACAUUGCUUAGCAUGUGCCUAGAGUGUUGAAGGUAUUCAGUAAAUGGUAACUAUUCUCCUUGUUGCUUCCUGUAAUAUUUUUUGCUUGUACACCUGUCUAUAGAGGGAGUACCAAUUAACCAAACAUGAUAAUCUAAGCUUGCCCCAGCCAAUCAGAAAAUGAAAUUACACAUUGUCAGGGGCAUCCCUACCAUUGGCGUCUAUUAUCUCUGUAGGUUCAGAGACAAUUUAAAAGAUUUCUUUUGGUAAAAAAAUAACAGACUGCAGGGGAGGGGCAUAAGGAAGAAACUGGAUAAUGAUCUGCUUUUUCUAAAAAGAUAUUGCUCACUGAGUUUAUGAUUAGGGGAAGGUUGCAUGAAAAGGAUUUAAAAAAUUAAUUUGUGGCUCUCUCGAAAUAAAGCCCAAGAAAGCAGCACAUUGGUUUAGCACAUUUUUAGAGAAAAACAACAGAGGAGCAAGAGAAAUCAAAACCUAACCUUCUCCCAUCUGCCACAGAUGAUUUUGUAGCUCUCUGCGAGAAUCUCAUUACCAUCUUCUAAGAUGCUGACGGUGCCACCAGCAAAACAGAGAGGGAGAAAGGGGCACACCCACCCACGCAGCACACACUCACACCACCUGAGCCUGCUCUGGCAGUGAGGUGACUAGACAGAAACCUGGUCCUCUCUCCCAGUUCCCCACUUCCUCCAGGAAUUCCAUAGGCAGACACAAGCUCCGUUUCAGCAAGGAGAGAGUUACCUUUAAAGAAUAUCUGCUCCAGGCAGCAGGAACAACGAGGAGGAGUGAUUGGCCUAGCGAAGACAAGAAUAACACUGAAAACCCACAUUUGCUUCUAGUUCUGGGCCUCCUGGGUCUGUUCUCUCCUGGCUAUAUUUUCAAAUGCUACAUCUUCUGGAGCGUUUCAAACCUGGGCCUGCCGGAUUUGAGGUGCAGGGAAAAUGGACUCCCCCCCAACUCCUCAAAUCACCUUCCCACCUUGCUUUCAAAAGGAAGGCAAGACAAUACAAGACUGUUCUCGAAUGGCUUUCACCUACUGGGGCUGUCAAAAGAAUUUCGAGUUUUGAGAUGAAAAGGAGGAAAGGAGGCCAAGUCCAGAGAUGAUUCCCAAGGAGGUUUUAAGGAAUACUGAUUUUUUCACCAUCUUUCUAAAUCUUCUUUUUGGAGAAAUGUGUGAGGCUGGAACCUGUGUGUGUGUGUGUGUGUAUUCACACACACACAUACCUACAUAUGUACACAUGUGCACACACACAUAUACAUGUGAAUGAAGCUAAUACCACCCAGGAAUUUACUCUCUUUAGCAAUAUUGGAAUCCAUGAGAUUCUAGAAAUCUGCUAAGCCUCUCAGGAACUCAUGAUUCAACUGGAUCCUUUUAUGGGGCCAGAAUCGUAGAAACUCAAGUCCAAAGGGUCACUUUAACUUCAUCCAGUGCGAUUUCAAUCCAGAGUCACUUGACUUCUUUGCCCCAGUCUCCUUGUCUAGAGAUGUCUUAGGUCCCCAAAGUAUUGCCCAUUUGCUGUCCCCUUGUCCCCCAAAACUCUGACCACAUGAGCAGGGGGCUCCUUUCUUAUGAGGAUCCCCUAAGGACUUCAGGGUUCAUGUGGGCAGAUGGGUAGGUCUACAGGGCUGAUGAUAAAGUAAAAAUAAACCACAUAAUGCUCUGGUGGUCAGUCGGUUUAAUGCCAUGAGACCUUGGGCUGGAACUUUUAACUUGCUAACUUCAUCAUUCAUGAACUAAAUGACAACACUGAAUUACUUUCAGGAGAGUCUCAGCUAAGGCUGUAAAAAUUAGCACUAGUUGAACCUAACAUGAAUCAACUAGUCCUUUACGGUUGUGAGGGACUCCGACUAGCUUAAGCAAACAGAGGGAAUGUAUUGACUCCCAUCACCGAGAAGGGCAGGGCCAGUGCGCUCAGACAAGCCACUAGAGCUCUUUGUAUCUCUCUAUUGGCUUUGUUCUCUCCUAUGGCUGGUGGAUAAAGGGAGGUGUGGAUGCAGACAGUUCCAUUCUUAUGUCAUCACAGCUUAGCAACCCCUGAAGACAGAAAGGUUGUUCUCCCAAUAUCUGUGAAAUCAAAGGGAAAAUUCCUGCUUGGUGCAGCUGGGAUCAUGCAUCCACCAUUUGGGCAACCACUGAGGAGAGAGGGAUGG